rnacentral:rRNA from 1 species
AGUGAACGCUGGCGGUAGGCCUAACACAUGCAAGUCGAACGGCAGCACAGUAAGAGCUUGCUCUUACGGGUGGCGAGUGGCGGACGGGUGAGGAAUACAUCGGAAUCUACUUUUUCGUGGGGGAUAACGUAGGGAAACUUACGCUAAUACCGCAUACGACCUACGGGUGAAAGCAGGGGAUCUUCGGACCUUGCGCGAUUGAAUGAGCCGAUGUCGGAUUAGCUAGUUGGCGGGGUAAAGGCCCACCAAGGCGACGAUCCGUAGCUGGUCGGAGAGGCGGAUCAGCCACAGAGGAGGUGAGACACGGUCCAGGGACCUACGGGAGGCAGAAGUGGCGAAUGUUGGACAAUGGGCGCAAGCCUGAUCCAGCCAUAGCGCGUGGGUGAAGAAGGCCUUCGGGUUGUAAAGCCCCUUUGUUGGGAAAGAAAAGCAGCAGGUUAAUACCCCGCUGUGUGGACGUAACCCAUAGAAUAGGCACCGGUUAACUUGGG